AGAGUUUGAUCCUGGCUCAGGAUGAACGCUAGCGGCAGGCUUAACACAUGCAAGUCGAGGGGCAGCGCGGGGUAGCAAUACUCUGGCGGCGACCGGCGGAAGGGUGCGUAACACGUGAGCGACUUGCCCGAUACAGGGAGAUAACCGGUGGAAACGCCGACUAAUAUCCCAUACGACAUGAGGCUGCAUGGCCUUGGGUUGAAAGGUUCGCCGGUAUCGGAUAGGCUCGCGGGACAUUAGCUUGAUGGCGGGGCAACGGCCCACCAUGGCGACGAUGUCUAGGGGUUCUGAGAGGAAGACCCCCCACACUGGGACUGAGACACGGCCCAGACUCCUACGGGAGGCAGCAGUGAGGAAUAUUGGUCAAUGGGCGGAAGCCUGAACCAGCCAUGCCGCGUGAAGGACUAAGGCCCUAUGGGUCGUAAACUUCUUUAGACGCAGAGCAAUAAGGGCCUCGUGAGGUCCGAUGAGAGUAUGCGUAGAAUAAGCAUCGGCUAACUCCGUGCCAGCAGCCGCGGUAAUACGGGGGAUGCGAGCGUUAUCCGGAUUUAUUGGGUUUAAAGGGUGCGUAGGCGGCGAAUUAAGUCAGCGGUGAAAGACCGGGGCUCAACCCUGGAAGUGCCGUUGAUACUGAUUGGCUAGAAUACCCUUGCCGUGGGAGGAAUGAGUGGUGUAGCGGUGAAAUGCAUAGAUAUCACUCAGAACACCGAUUGCGAAGGCAUCUCACGAAGGGGCGAUUGACGCUGAGGCACGAAAGCGUGGGGAUCGAACAGGAUUAGAUACCCUGGUAGUCCACGCAGUAAACGAUGAUGGCUAACUGUCGGGCCUACGGGUUCGGCGGCCAAGCGAAAGCGAUAAGCCAUCCACCUGGGGAGUACGACCGCAAGGUUGAAACUCAAAGGAAUUGACGGGGGCC
rnacentral:rRNA from 1 species